rnacentral:rRNA from 1 species
CUAUGAAGAGGAUUAGAGGACUCUGGUGAAAGGAAGUAUAGGACGCAGCUGCCUAGGGAAAGGAUGUUGAGGAGACAGAGCCGCUCGCUGGAGGGAGGACGCCCCGCUGCUGGGGGAGACGACGUAGAGGAAGCUGCCCCGCUCGAUACUGGGGAGAAGGCUCGCUCGGUGUGGACCAAGCUCGUGGUGGAGGAGGGUGGUCGCCGGUGGAGUGGUUCCGCGACGUGGCUGGCCGGCGCCGGUGGCGUCGUCCGUGUCCUCGGCGGCGCUGUGAUGUGGGGUCGGCGGCGGCGGCAGUCUGCAGCGGUGGGGUGUGGAGGGCGGAGUCUGCAGCAGUGGCGGGCAGUGGUUGGGGCCGACAGGGGCGGCGGGGGCGGCGGUGGUGUGGUGGAGGGCGCGGUCGGCGGUGGUGGGGGUGUGGCUAGGGUUGGCGGCGGAUGUGGUCUGGAUCGAUUUGGGGAUAAAGUGGAUUGAAGUCCGU